GCCUAGAGAGAAAGGUUUUUGAUGAACGAUAGGAGAAGUGAAAUGUAGCCGAAAUGGCCCGGACGGGGUGAAUUUAUUGAAGCCUAAUAUUUGUUGAAUUGGUUAUUCUAUAUUAAUUUCUAAUACUGAUAACUUCCAACAUUAGUGCAAAUGUAAGUGAUAAUGUUAACUAAGAAGGAAGAAUUAGAUUGUUUAUUUACGACAAGUUUCUUAUGGAUUAGGACCUAAACGGGUAUAAAAAGUGCCUACUAAAUGAUACCAUUUCCAUUACAGUGCGCUUAUGGAUUUGAGUAGUUUGUUGCGAUGGUAACGGCAGAAUUAUUGUUAGCGAAGAACACCGAAAGUGUAAGAAUUUGUAUUUUUCAUAGUUAUGUGUUUAAUUAAAUAAAAACUCUAUUUGCAGUUUAAAGCUGCACUAAACGCAUGGAUAGCGUCAUCGCUGCUAAGAACCCGGUGAGAAAUUCCCCUUCUGCCCCCGCAACAAUCUUUAAAACUUUCGUGGUCGCACUGUGAGACGUGCGAAGUGAGAUGUGAGGUGCGAAUUCAUACGAAUACCGAAUCAAACGGGAGCCUGCGAAUAUUUCUCGCGCCCCGGCACGUAGAAUUGCACGAUAUACCUAUACCUACGAAAAUCAGUAAAACGAUUUCAGAGCGGCAAUUUCUGUAACUGCUCAACGAUGAGUCAGGUCUCAACAACAGAUAGUAAGCCCGCUCGAGCGUUAAUACGGCUGAAGCAGCUACAAGAAGAACGCGCAAUACAGCAGCGCGAGAUAGCCUUAGAGAUGCGAAUUCUCGCUCUAGAACAAAAGGCAAUGGAAGAGAAAUAUCGAUUGCUGGAACAGCAAUUGGUGAUGAAACGAAAACACAAGAUCCGAGACCGUCCCCAUGCGAGUCAACAAACGAAGCCCUUUUCGGAUGAGUACCAUGCAUCGGAAAUCGCCGGCAGCAGAGCGGUCGUCGAGAACCUUCUCUCAACAGGAGAGAAAUCCGGGAUAAAUGACGGAGAGUUGAACACAACGAAGCAGCGAUCCGAAUACCAGUUAGAGAUGAGCUGCGAGUCUGCAGAGCAGCUCGGAAUGAUGGACCACUCGACCAAGACUAAUAUUACGUGGAAUAACGGGUUUCAGCAGCGAAACACUCGCGCGACUCCCGUAACUGCUGUAAGAGUGGAAGAAGCGACAUUGAAUAGUAACACGAGAGCAAAUUUUGAUAUCCCAGUACUCCUUCCAUUAUCCGCACCGGACAGAGAAUCUCUUAAGCACGACCAGUUAUACUCUUCGGUAAAUCUCACCGCUCCCACCGGACUCAGCGGAAAGCCGAAUGAUGGAAAAGGUGCAGAAGUCGAUAGAGAUGAAAUGAAGCAAGAAACGUAUUCGGCUCUAGCCACGCCAAUAUUACAGCAGCAUACCACUAUGGAAAUGAUAAAUCAUCCGGUCGAACACCAUGAUUCCUUUUGCGCCUUGGAUUGGCGCAUAUGUGUAGUUGGGCCUGCAUCGGCAACUGCCGAGAAUGAGUACUCAGGCAUUGAGAAUUUAGCAAAAUUACAGCAGGUAUCGUCUGGUUAUGGGUAUCAGAAGGAUGACCGACGAUUGGAAAAAUGUAAUCUUCUCGGGUUUCAGAUAUCAACAACUUUGUUCUCACGAUGGAACUUCGUGAGAGAUACAGUUCAUCAUACUUUACAGCAGCAACUGACUGUGGAUGUGAACUCAAAUAAACAUCCUCACUGCAUACUAAUGGAUGCUAAACCCACACCAGCAUGUGUAAAAUCACUUCCAACAACAAGACGGGACUCGUAUUUCACGUUCCUUGUUGUUAGACUAUUCCGAUGGAUUUUAGAGUCACAUACCGUGACUCUAACUGACAUGCACUUCGGGUUCGGUUUGUUUAUCAUUCGCGCAUUGUUCCGAGAAAACGCUUUGAAGCACAAAACAGCUGGUGUAAGAAGUGGUUUGAUGGAGAUUGGACAAAUGCACGUCGUUCACAACGCCAAAGGCCGAAUCAAUUACGAAUUUGAUAAUUAUCCAGUCAUGUACGAUGCUAGGUUACUUCCAUUCAUGGUGAUCGAGAAGGAUUCACCCAGUCCUAACGUGAAGGCUUUCGUACCGGAGACAAGAACGUUGGGAAAUAAGAAGGACUUUAGUCGGAGCAACAAUGCUUCUCAUGUUGUCGCAAUCGUUCCUAGCGGUACCUAUCGGCAGGCCGAAGUAAUCGUCAGUCGUAAUAGGAAACGUAUCAUCAACGAAUUAACUGCUGGCGCCCUUGCUUGUCGCUUGAACGCAAAGAAGGAGGAGAGGCAAGAACAUUUGGGUGAUGGGGAGCCCGAAUCGGAGAAGAAUGAAGGCGAAAGGGAAGCUGUAACGAAACGGGAAGAAAUGGAUGCAGAACCAGCGGCGAAAGAAUCCGUACCGGAGGAAGAGCCUUCAAGAAAAAAGGAUUGCAGGACGAGAAUCCCAUCAGACUCAGGAAGCACUUCGAUUUCUUCGUCAUCUUCGAGUUCAAAUGAGUCGAAGGAUGAGAAGGAAAAGGAGAACAAGGAUAAGCAGGAAUACGCGGAAGAGAAGGAUGCAAAGUCAGUCGCCAAGAGUCCGAAGCCGGAUGAAGAGGAGCCGCCAAGAAGGGUACAGUACCCUUCUGUGGAAUCAACAUACAUAGGUGAAACCGAUAUCCAAAGUGACACUAUUCAGGCUGGUGUCAUAUGCAGUGAAUGAAAUCCCGGGAACAUAGCUAGGUGUUUGAAUGAAGGUCCUGGAUGAGAAGAAGAAAAUCGAAAAACAAGAAAAGGCUGUUGUCACCCACAGUGAAGACUAAGCAGUUAUCCGACUCAUUGUGUGUACAGUGCAGGGUUUGUCGAAUAAUUGGAUUACUUGGUUUAGGUAAAACUGGGACCAAAUACCCAGUGUUACGGGGGGGGGAGAAUGUUGCCGCUGGCAACACUGCCUCUUAUAUGUCGAAAGAAGAAAUUCGGGCAAGCGAGCGAAGCCUAGAGAGAAAGGUUUUUGAUGAACGAUAGGAGAAGUGAAAUGUAGCCGAAAUGGCCCGGACGGGGUGAAUUUAUUGAAGCCUAAUAUUUGUUGAAUUGGUUAUUCUAUAUUAAUUUCUAAUACUGAUAACUUCCAACAUUAGUGCAAAUUGCGCUUAUGGAUUUGAGUAGUUUGUUGCGAUGGUAACGGCAGAAUUAUUGUUAGCGAAGAACACCGAAAGUGUAAGAAUUUGUAUUUUUCAUAGUUAUGUGUUUAAUUAAAUAAAAACUCUAUUUGCAGUUUAAAGCUGCACUAAACGCAUGGAUAGCGUCAUCGCUGCUAAGAACCCGGUGAGAAAUUCCCCUUCUGCCCCCGCAACAAUGACCUUACA